rnacentral:miRNA from 2 species
AAAGUGCUUCUCGUUCGGCUGA